UAGACCCGAAACCCGGUGAUCUAGCCAUGGGCAGGUUGAAGGUUGGGUAACACUAACUGGAGGACCGAACCGACUAAUGUUGAAAAAUUAGCGGAUGACCUGUGGCUGGGGGUGAAAGGCCAAUCAAACCGGGAGAUAGCUGGUUCUCCCCGAAAGCUAUUUAGGUAGCGCCUCGUGAAUUCAUCUCCGGGGGUAGAGCACUGUUUCGGCUAGGGGGCCAUCCCGGCUUACCAACCCGAUGCAAACUGCGAAUACCGGAGAAUGUUAUCACGGGAGACACACGGCGGGUGCUAACGUCCGUCGUGAAGAGGGAAACAACCCAGACCGCCAGCUAAGGUCCCAAAGUCAUGGUUAAGUGGGAAACGAUGUGGGAAGGCCCAGACAGCCAGGAUGUUGGCUUAGAAGCAGCCAUCAUUUAAAGAAAGCGUAAUAGCUCACUGGUCGAGUCGGCCUGCGCGGAAGAUGUAACGGGGCUAAACCAUGCACCGAAGCUGCGGCAGCGACGCUGAUGCGUUGUUGGGUAGGGGAGCGUUCUGUAAGCCUGCGAAGGUGGCCUGUGAGGGUUGCUGGAGGUAUCAGAAGUGCGAAUGCUGACAUAAGUAACGAUAAAGCGGGUGAAAAGCCCGCUCGCCGGAAGACCAAGGGUUCCUGUCCAACGUUAAUCGGGGCAGGGUGAGUCGACCCCUAAGGCGAGGCCGAAAGGCGUAGUCGAUGGGAAACGGGUUAAUAUUCCCGUACUUGGUGUUACUGCGAAGGGGGGACGGAGAAGGCUAUGUUGGCCGGGCGACGGUUGUCCCGGUUUAAGCGUGUAGGUGUGUGUUCCAGGUAAAUCCGGUUCACUUUAACACUGAGGCGUGAUGACGAGGCACUACGGUGCUGAAGCAACAAAUGCCCUGCUUCCAGGAAAAGCCUCUAAGCAUCAGGUAACAUCAAAUCGUACCCCAAACCGACACAGGUGGUCAGGUAGAGAAUACCAAGGCGCUUGAGAGAACUCGGGUGAAGGAACUAGGCAAAAUGGUGCCGUAACUUCGGGAGAAGGCACGCUGACACGUAGGUGAAGUGAUUUACUCA
rnacentral:rRNA from 1 species